rnacentral:rRNA from 1 species
GAGGAAUAUUGCGCAAUGGACGAAAGUCUGACGCAGCCAUGCCGCGUGCAGGAUGACGGUCCUAUGGAUUGUAAACUGCUUUUGUAUAGGAAGAAACUUAACUACGUGUAGUUGACUGACGGUACUAUAUGAAUAAGCAUCGGCUAACUCCGUGCCAGCAGCCGCGGUAAUACGGAGGAUGCAAGCGUUAUCCGGAUUUAUUGGGUUUAAAGGGUGCGUAGGCGGAAACUUAAGUCAGUGGUUAAAUCCUGCAGCUUAACUGUAGCACUGCCAUUGAUACUGAGAUUCUUGAGUACGAUUGAGGUAGGCGGAAUGUGUAAUGUAGCGGUGAAAUGCUUAGAUAUUACACAGAACACCAAUUGCGUAGGCAGCUUACUAAGUCGCAACUGACGCUGAGGCACGAAAGCGUGGGGAUCGAAC